UUAGAUCAUUGUUGCUGGAAAGCUCUUUAAUGCAGGAGAUAGACCAUGUCCUUCAUGUGGAGGAGGCUGUGCUUAGCUCGGCAGCCUCCUGGGCCGGGGCCUGCAUGGACCUGGGCAGCCCCUCCAGCUCCGUCAGGCGUGUGCCGCAUUGUGGUGUUCUGCUGGUGGCACUUCAGCCCCAGCCGCCCUCCUGGCACAACUGGCCCCAGUCUAACAGCUCGGCUGCAAAUGUUUCAGUAGAUGUGAUAAUGGCCACCUAUGAGGAGAAAGCUACAGUUGUGUAUGGAUCAACGUCCAGGAAGGUUCUUUGUUUAUGUUAUGGGAGCUGCAGUUCGUUUAGU
rnacentral:lncRNA from 1 species